CGUUUGUCCUUCAACGAAUUCUAUCACCAUAGAUUCCUGAGAAGGAAUAGUGCAAUACUAAGGGCACCUUUUCAGAUCCCAUAACCCUGGGUCUCUGACUUCCCUUGUAUAUUGAAUUGGGCAUCCUUAAUUAUAUUUCCUUUGACACCUGCUUCAGCAUAUCAGUUGCUUCUCAGAUUGCUAAUAUUUCUACAUUGCAGAUAUUGUUGACCUCAUAUACAUUGACAUCAGUCAAGGUUGUCUUCAUUGUAUCUUUUGGGGAACAUUCAUAAUUCCGUGUAAUUCAGUUACAAUACUUGUUUACCAGUCUAGUGCAUUAAGAAAGAAUUUUUCCCUUGGUUUUAUUCAUCAUCACCAAGGUUUAGCCAUCUAGGAGUCCCUCUUGCUUCUUACAUGUCAACCCAAGUUAUUUAUAACGUUUUGAAUCUGUCCAAAAGCGACGGUUGCCUAAAACCGGCUUGAGAUUUUGCCUCUGUAAAUUAAGUGGUGGCUAGGUGUUUGCUCUUAUCAGAAUGUAUUCAUAACUCUGUAAAAGUAAUGUAUACUCAGUUGCUCUAUAUAUUUUGUGGUUGAUGAAUACGUCUGUCUAUAUAAUUACUUUCAUUAAAAUUUAAAACAGCCAUAGCCAAUCAUGGAAAAAGUAAUUGUACUCGUGCAAAGUUUUGCUGGACAGGUGAACAAAACGUGAUAUAUAUGUUUUAAUAUGUUGCCAUAGAGCUACAUAGUCAUGUAGCACAAACGAAGCAAAAACCCACUACAAGAUUUUACCCAAGGAGGCUGUGGGGCAAGGAGGAGUCGCAACGUCUGCGAUCCCUUAUAACAUCAUCACCGCGCACUUCAUAGGACGAAGAGCAGGUUCAUCUUGAACGCACCAAAGGCCCACCUUGACCAAGUUCUCCAAAUUCUUCUUGUCUACUUUUGUGCCACGGACAAGCUUAUUCAACUCUCUAUUAAUGAAGCACUUGUAAACCCAAUUGGUAAGAAUGAUUUCCUCUGGUUUUGAUGCAUCAAUCUCCAUGUUUUUCCUGCAGCAAAUAGUUUCCAGGAGCACUAUUCCAUAGCCAUAAACAUCUGCUUUUACUGAUAUUGGAGUUCUCUUGUAACAUUCCGGCGCCAUGUAACCCUUGUCCCUCUUAUCAAUGACAAAGUCCUCAUUUGGUCUGGCACCAACAAUUUCGCUAGUCCAAAAUCUAAGAUUUUCGCAGUCCAAAAUUCAUCCAUCAGAAUGUUCUGAGGCUUUAUGUCACAAUGAAGGAUAGGUGGUUCACACUCAUCAUGGAGAUAGAGGAUUCCUUUAGCAACAUCUAAUGCAAUUCUGACUCUUUGAUUCCAAUAGGGGUUUCUUUCAGCGCUACAAAAUAUGAUAUCUGUAAGGGAGCCAUUUCUCACGGGCCGCUCAAUUUUGCCACUAACGGAGGUUAAUUUCGCGCGCACGGGUACGUUUAGCAAAAGUCCUCCUCGAAUUCGAGUGCACUUAGAAACCGAGAUGCACUUAGCACAAAAGGCGGGAUGCACUUAGAAGUGGGCCGCCAACAUAUUAAGUCUUCCGUGGUGUGCUUAGAAAAUCACCCACCAAGGCCCAAGAUCUAUAAAUAGGGAUGAGCCCCCUCAUUGGGCCACUAACAACCACACACACAAGCUCUCUAGCUCUCUUGUAAUUUAUUCUUUGUGUGUAAUAAAAUAUAUUUUGGCCAUAUUGCUCUCUUCUCUCUAGCAUUUUCCACAAAGCAUUCUUGCUUAGCUAGUUGAGAAGUUCGGAAAGGCUUACUUAGCGACUUAUAUGCUAAAAGUCGCCUAAGUGUUGCGUGGGUUGCUGCGCAAUAAAACUCAUCCCGUGACAAGUGGUAUUAGAGCUAAGGUUUGCACCCAUGCAAACUAGCUUAACGAGCAAUGGCCAAUCCUCCUAGCAUAACACAAGAGGGCGUAGUCGGUGUGGAGGUAUCGGAGCAAACACGUGGCCGUGAGGAGGGACGCGCACAAGCUAAGUCCUGCGGCAAGUCCAAGGCCGCUUCCGUAGACACCUUGGAGCCUCGCAUGGCCACGCUCAAGACUUCAAUGUCCGCUGUCCAGGACACCCUCGAUACUUUGGAGGUGAGGGUCAAUGGUCUCAAGGGCAAGUAUGGUGAGUUCGCCAAGGCCCUCAUGCAAGACCAAGCCGACUUACUCCAAGGGGAGUUUCGAGCAUUGAAAGAUGAUCUGUAGAAGUUACUUAGCUUCGUACAAAGCGAGCUACGAGCGAUCAGUGCAGAGGUUGACGAAGUCUGCUCGGAUUGGGCUUGGCACAAGCGCACACGCACACCUAGCCCAGCUUCCGCAAGCACAAGUGAUGCACGCUGGAUCGACGUGCGAAAGCCGGACACCUACAAUGGUGCACGCAAUGCCACUAUCUUCGACAACUUCCUAUUUGGGCUAGAGCAAUACAUGGAUGCCAUGGAUGUUCGCGAUGAGGCAUCGAAGGUAGGCACUGCGCCUACAUUCUUACGAGGCGCCACACAACUAUGUCGGCGGCGGAAGCAUGGCGACAUGGGUAAGGGCAUUUGUGCCAUCAAUACAUGGGCCGAGUUCCAACGUGAACUCCACAAGCACUUUGCCCCGAGCAACGCGGAGAAGGAAGCUCGAGCGCCUAUGUUGGCUCAAGCAAACGGGCGGCGUCCGUAAUUAUAUCAACGACUUCACUACUCUCAUACUUGAGAUCUCUGACAUGUCCGAUAAGGACUCUCUCUUCUACUUCCAAGAUAGCCUCAAGAAUUGGGCGAAGGUGGAACUUGACAGGCGUGGCGUACAAACUCUCGAUGACGCCAUCACCAUUGCAGAAUCACUUGCCGAUUACUCCACACAGCCCAAGGACAAGAGGCCUAGCCAUGGUAAAGGUGGGGGAGAGGGUCGGAAGGACAAGGGCCAUAAUCGGAAGGAGUGGGGGCAGAAAAAGCCUCCAAGCGGCAAGAGCGGGCAAAGUAAAUCGGAGAAACAACAGCCACCCAAGCCUCAAAGCCCAUGCUUCAUAAGCAAUGCCCCCAUUGGGUCCGCAACUGUCCGGAGAAAAAGUCGCCCAAUGCUCUAGCAGCCUAACUCAAGGGCAACUCAACACCGUCGACGGAGGAACCCCAACACAACAUGGGUACCCUCCAACGCCUCGGCGCACUCAAGAGCCACUCGCCAGCACCUACGAAGAAAGGGCUCAUGUAUGUGAGUGUGUCUAUUAAUGGACAAGUCGUGCAUGCCUUGCUCGACACCAGAGCGACGCACAACUUCAUUUCGGAAGAUGAGGCCAAGUGCCUAAGCCUCAAGGUGAUGAAGGAAUGAGGCACCUUGAAGGCGAUAAACUCACCUGCUAAGCCCAUUGCGGGCACCGCAAGAGGCGUGCGGGUAAUACUCAGAGCGUAGAGCGGAAGCUCGAUUUCUCCAUCGUACCCAUGGAUGACUUCAAGAUGGUCCUCGGCAUGGAGUUCUUCGAUCAAGUCCAUGCCUUCCCGCUAUCGGCCACAAACUCCCUAAGUAUCCUCGAUGGGAGUAUGGCGUUCAUGGUUCCAGCCGAGUGCUCGAAGAUCGCGGACAAGACGCUCUCGACCAUGCAGUUCAAAAAGAGUUUCCGGAAAGACCCAAGCUUCUUAGUCUCCAUCUGGGAGCUAAAUGAUGGAGAAGAUCGUAGUGAGUCACCGAGCCAAGUCCCUCCUCUAAUCCAAGGAGUACUCAAUGAAUUCAAGGACGUCAUGCCUCCGGAACUUCCGAAGAAGCUCCUACCAAGACGUGAAGUGGAUCACGAGAUCGAAUUGGAGCAAGGCGUGAAACCUCCAGCCUUGGCGCCCUACUGGAUGGCGCCGCCCGAACUCGAGGAGUUACGAAGACACCUCUAAGACUUAUUAGAUACGGGCUACAUCCGCCCAUCAAAGGCUCCAUUCGGUGCACCCGUGUUCUUCUAAAAGAAGAAAGACGGAUCACUUUGGAUGUGCAUCGACUAUCGGGAUCUCAACAAGAUCACUAUCAAGAGCAAGUAUUUGAUCCCUUUGAUCGUGGAUUUGUUUGACCAGCUUGGCAAGGCGCGGUACUUCACCAAGCUUGAAUAGUGGUCCGGGUACUACCAAGUGCGCAUCGCCAAGGGAGAUGAGCCAAAAAAGGCGUGCAUAACCAGAUACAGAUCUUUCGAGUUCCUUGUCAUGCCUUUUGGCCUCACCAAUGCACCGGCCACGUUUUGCACCCUUAUGAACAAGGUUCUCCAACCUUUCCUCGACCGCUUCGUCGUUGUGUACUUGGAUAAAAUAGUGGUGUAUAACACCACACUCGAGGAGCACGCCCAACACUUGCGGCAAGUUCUCCAAGUACUGCGCAACAACGAGCUCUACCUCAAGAUGGAGAAAUGUUGGUUUGCCCAAUGGGAGGUAGAGUUCCUUGGCCACAAAUAACGAAAGGGAAGUUGAUGAUGGAGAACUCAAAGGUGAAGGCCAUCCUCGAGUGGGAACCUCCUACCAAGGUACUCGAAUUUUCUGUCUUUUCUCGGAUUGGUGAAUUACUAUCGCUGCUUCAUCAAGGGAUACUCGACCAAAGCGGCACCCUUGACCGACUUGUUGAAAAAGAACAGAACAUGGCAUUGGUCCAAAGAGUGCCAGCAUGCAUUCAAAGAGUUGAAAAAGGCUAUCUUCGAGGAUCCCGUCCUCGUUUUUCCGGACCACACGAAGCCAUUAGAAAUUCACACGAAUGCCUCUGACUUCGCCAUUGGUGUAGUCCUUAUGCAAGAAGGCCACCCAAUAGCGUUUGAAAGUUAGAAGCUCAAUAAUACAGAACGUCGUUACACCAUGCAAGAGAAGAAAAUGACUGCAAUCAUCCAUUGCCUACGAGUGUGGCAACACUACUUAUUUGGCUCAUACUUUGUGAUCUUAACAGCCAACGUAGCCACAAGCUACUUCCAAACGCAAAAGAAGUUGAGCCCCAAGCAAGUAAGGUGGCAAGACUUCCUUGCAGAAUUUGACUAUCGGCUCGAGUACAAGCCUGGAAAAGCCAACGUUAUUGCGAAUGCCCUAAGCCGCAAAGCAGAGUUGGCAACACUUAGCAUGAGCCAACCACAGUCCAACCUUGUCUCUCGGAUCAAAGAAGGCCUCCAAUAAGAUCCGAUAGCAAAAGACUUGUUGGGGAAAGUUCUCGAGGGCAAGACAAGGAGAUUUUGGCAAGAAGAAGACAUCCUCCUCACCAAAGGAGAUCAACUCUUUGUGCCUAGGUGGGGAAAUUUGCAUUGAGAAGUGAUCAAGGAGUGCCACGACUCAAAAUGGGCUGGCCACCCUGGAGUAUAAAGCACGACCGCAAUCGUCUAAGCUUCAUAUUUUUAACCGCACAUGAGAGAUGACAUCGAGGCCUAUGUGCGGACAUGUCUUGUUUGCCAACAAGACAAAGCGGAUCACCAACUUCCGGCAGGAUUGUUGGAGCCCCUGCCCAUAGCAUCAAGGCUUUGGGAAAGUGUCACCAUGGAUUUCAUUUCGGCCUUACCCAGGUCUGAGGGGUGCGGAAGCAUAAUGGUCAUGGUCGACCGCUAUAGCAAGUAUGCAACUUUCAUCACCACACCAACCGAUUGCAAAGCAGAUAAGGUUGCCCGUAAGAUGAAGAAAUGGGCUGAUUCUCGAAGGCGCAUGUCGAAUACAAAGAAGGCAACCAAGUGAUGGUGAAGCUCCUACCCCAACAGUUCAAGACUUUGUGGAAAGUCCAUAAAGGGUUAGUGAGACGAUACGAGGGGCCUUUCGAAGUAGUGCGACAUGUCGACAAAGUCUCGUACUAACUUCGACUUCUGCCGAUACUCAAGAUCCAUCCGGUCUUCCACGUAAGUUUGUUCAAGCCAUACCAUGCAGAUGCGGAAGACCCAAGCCGAGGUGAGUUAAGACGUACCCUAACUGCCGUUGUCACAACAUUUUACAAGGACGUAGAUUAUAUAAUCUUCGAUCAAGUCAUUCGAAGACGGGGCAUACCGGCAUACAAUGAGUACUUAGUGAAGUUGAGGAAUCCCCCCGAAAGCGAAGCAACGUGGGAACGUAAAGACGACCUAUGGCAAUUCGUGGAGCAUAUCUAGAACUACAAGCACAAGAACGCGAUAAGGACACUGCGAGCAUAAGUGGGAGAGGAUUGUCACGGGCCGCUCAAUUUUGCCACCAACGGAGGCUAAUUCUGCGUGCAUGGGUAUGUUUAGCAAAAGUCCGCCUCGAACCGAAGUGCGCUUAAAAACUGGGAUGUACUUAGCACAAAAGGCGAGAUGCACUUAGAAGCGGGAUGCGCUUAGAAGUGGGUCGCCAAUAUAACAAGUCUUCUGUGGCCCAAGAUCUAGACUUCUCUACAAUUUGUAAAUAGUUAGAACUUUCUAGGAUUUUUCACUUAGCCCUUAGGAAAUAUUUGUGCAAGUUGCAUGGAAACUUCAAGAACCUUGCACCCAAGUCUAUAAAUAGGGGUGAGCCCUCUCAUUUGCCCACCAACCACCACACACACAAACACUCAAGCACACAUACAAGCUCUCUUGUAAUUUAUUCUGUGUGUAAUAAAAUAUAUUUUAGCCACAUUGCUCUCUUCUCUCUAGCAUUUUCCACAAAGCAUUCUUGUUUGGCUAGUUGAGAAGUUCGAAAAGGCUUACUUAGCGACUUGUAUGCUAGAAGUCGCCUAAGUGCCGCACGGGUUGCUGCACAAUAAAAACUCAUCCCGUGACACAUUACUCAUAUAUUCAUAUACCAGUAACCUCAUGGAAUCCUCAAUGCAGUAACCAAUUAACCAAAUUAAGUUCUUGUGAUGAGUUAGGCUGAUCACAUGCAUCUCUGCUCGAAAUUCUCUCUCACAAUCCGUCACCAUUGACCCCAGCCUCUUCACGACUACAAACUUUUCACCUUUGUGUAAGGUCCCUUUAUAAACUGUUCCAAAAGAGCAUUUGCCCACACUCUUCUUUGAAUCUGUUGGUUGCUUUCUUAAGCUCAUUAUAAGAAAACGAGCAUGGAAUUAAGUCAUUAGUCAAGCCAAAGUUUCCAAUUUUCAGCGGCCAUUUCUCUUUAACAAGUCGGUACUGGUAAAUGAAAAAAAAAAAGAUGGCAAGGAAAACACAUGAACACAUGAUGAAGCCUACAAUCAGUACCAGAACUAGUACUAUUUCCUUUUUGCUAGUGAUUCUAUCCGACAGUAUAACGUCGCUUUUGAAUUUUUUUAUGCUCAUCUUGAAAUAAGCUUUGGAUGAGGAUGACUCUCCUUGACGUGUCCGAACAGAUUUUAGUGGAAGCUUGUGUUUCAUGCAAUAACCUGAUUCGUACAAAGCAGCAUCACAUUCACAGUCCUCUAAACAUGAUUUUCUGCACUCUUCUUUAAGCAUGUAUUUCCUAAAAUAUGGAUAAUCAUCCCAUGUUAUAUUAACUAUAGAAGUCAUGUUAUAUGCUGCACUUCGAUUGGUACUUCUGCAUCUUUCUUUAAUGAAGUUCCUAGCACAUCCACUAGAGAUUUUGUUAAUGUUUAAAAAAUCCAUUCUAAGAAGACAACCACACAUGGGUUGGUUGUCAUACCAUGUGCAAUAGUUGUUCAAAACGCAAAAGUUCUUCACAUGACACAAAUCCUCCGGUUCUUCCAAUUCAACAUGGCCUAGAGUUACACAGUAAAUAACUGAGCUAUUAUUAUUGAAAGACGAGUCAGAGUACAGUGACCAGAUUUCUGAUGUGCUGCUGUUAAGAAGCAGCAGUCUGGCAUUAUUAUCAAGAUAUAGAUGAAAUUGUUGAUGGUUGUCAGCAUCAUUGGCUUGAUAGACGUCAAUAUUAUCAUCUAUAGUAUUUUUGGGGUACAAAAGAAGAUUUCCAUCAACUCGCAUAUUCAGACAAUACUUGUUUGGGCAUUAAAAGGGCACUAGCUGGGCAUGUCCCAAUUUCCUAGUCCUCAACCAAAUGUUAUGAGUAGUUUUUUGGUGGAAGUAUUCUCCGCGGUACACCUAAUGACCGAUCAAAGGCAUGUACCGACUAGAAAUAUGUCACCCAGAAAGAGGGCACAAUCUCAUAUCAAUGCAACAGUUUCGCCACAUCCCAAACCAUUAGAAAAAAACACGACACCCCACGUCGCCCACUUUUGACUAUUGAGAUCCGUAAGGACCCUUGAUCGCCCAAGUAUGACGGGCGUGGGAAAUGUUCUAGGGAUACUGGAUGAUUGCUUAUAAAAGGUCAAAAAAAUAGAAGGGAGGGGGAUAGAUAAAAAAAAAAAAGGGAAAACUCUGCCAAUUUGAUUCCAGCAUUUAUUUCUAAAACACUUUUCUUUCAUUCAUUUGUGAUUAGUUUGCACGUGUCUUAAAAUACAACAUUUUUCCUGAAACCCUGAGUACUGACUUAAGCAUCGGAGGGUUUUCUCCGAAAAAACCACCAGUGCCUCUGAUUUGUUUCUAUGAGCGCAAGUCGUGAAGGAAUAGGGAAAUUGAUUUGAGUCUCUAGGUUCGUACAAUUGGGAAAGCAUUAGGAGUGCAGUGUUCCAGUCAUUGUCAGUACAACCAUUGGUAAUUCAAUUUGGUCUAGCAAAGGAUGACCAGAUUUCCGCAUCAAUAUUUUGGCGCCGUCUAUGGGGAGGUGAACGAAAAACUACCACAAAUGUAGCAACUAGUGGCAUAAAGGAGAACGAGUCAUUAUAGAUAUGGCGAGGAGUGGCGUUCAAGGGGGGUGAUAAUGAAACCAAUGAGAUUAUCACUCUUUGAGAAAUAGCGAAUGAAGCUAGGGAAAGAGUGAUGCAAGAACGGAUGGAAAAGCAGAUGGAGACCCUUACCGCCAUACUACAUGAGCUGAGGAAUGAGAGAAUGAAGGAUUAUAAGGCUACAACGAUUAGAGACGAGGUUGUGGCGGAACCCAGCUAUCGAAAGCAUGGGAAUGAGGAGAUUCCUCUGUUAGGGGGACAGCCCGAUGGAGCGCAUGCUCAUAGAGAUGCAGUCUAGACUCUGGGAGAGCAUGGGAAUGAGGGGAGAGAUCAAUCCCGCAGUGGGCAAAUCUGUGGAAGUGGUACCCGAGGAGCAAACGUUGAGGAGAAUGAGCUCAGAUUACGGUUGCACAACAUUGAACAGGAGCGUGAUCAGGUUGCAGCACGUGAUCCUGGUCGGGCUUUGGAAUUAGAGGGGGAAGUGCGACUGUUGUGAAAAAUUUUAAUAUACUUGUAAGCGCACAAAUCUAGAAAUAGAGUAGUGGUAACGAGGUCGAUCCCACAGGGAUUUUUAUAAAUUGAAAAAUCUAAUUUAAAUCUAAAAUUACUAUUAAUUCCAACCUAGUUGACCAAAUUGAGUUUCUAAGAAAAUUAAACCAAUUCAACUAAGAAAGCAAUUAAAAUAAAGGAGAAUUCAAUAAGAUAAAAAUUACCAAGGUUUCGGAAUCAACCACUAUUCAAUUAGUAAUUAUCUAAACAUUAAUUAAUCCCCAAUUUUAGAGUGACAACUCGAAAUCAAUUUAUGUCAUCUCAUAAAUAUAACAAUUAAGUCCAAUUAAAAUUAAUCUUGUGUAGGUUCUUUUUCUGCUUAAUAAUAUGACAUCUAAGUAUCUCAUGUAAACAUCUUGAAUAACAAAGAGUCAAAGUUUCCAUAAGCACUCUACGUAAAUAAUUUAAUAAAAGAUAUAGAAUCAAAGAUAAUCAUGUAUAAACUUUAUAGAUCCAAUCAUAGAUUUAAUUGAAUAUUAAUCAUAAUAAUCAAUAAUGCAUGACAGAAUUGAUGAAAAGAUUUUAAUAACAUCCAAUUAAUCAUGUGAAAUAAAAACCAUAAUCAUUAAAGAACAUAUAUAGGGAAUUAAAUAAAUAAAAAGAUAAUUAUUUCAUUGAACAUGGUUUCAUCUUUAACCUCAGUAUAAGAAAAUUAGUUAGACAUACUUGAAUAAGGAGCAACAAAAGAAAUAAAAUCAGCCAUGAAAACGCGACUGCCCUCCUCUCCCAAAAGCCAAAAGCUUAGCUUUCUUAUAUAGCCUGUAAAAUGGGCCCCACCUUGUCAAUUCUAAAGCUAAAAGGGUUUGGCCUUUUAUUUGUUUUGCUUCACUCAUGUGGGCACUUUAAAUUGUAAUAGGUUUCUUUUUUCCAUUUAUGAAAGCCAAGUGGGGUCCCUUCUUAAAGCUAAAAUCAAUUUCUCUCUUUUGUCCGCAUGUGCAUGAUGAAUUAACUUGUUGAAUUCGGUUCCUUGGCUUGAUUUCCACAUGCAUGUAUGUCUAAUUCCUUCCAAAAAAUCAAUUAAUCUUUAAUGCUUCCAAAAUUGAGUUCGUUUAUGUCCUUUUUAUCCAUAAUCUCCAAUUAAUCCCCUAUUCAAUAAAAUAAUUUAAUUAAUUAAAAAUAACAAAUGAAAAUAGCUAGCAAUUAUAUAAUUAAGGGUAAAAUAUGUAUAUAAAUUAUGUUCAUCAGCGACAAUUGGCACAUGUGAUAGAUAAGAUGCAGGGCAGAAGAAAGCCCCCUAGCUGGAGAAUAAUGUUGGAUGACGAAUCUCCACUCUCAGCGGAGAUCAUAGGCACUAUGAUCCCGAGGGAUUUCCGUUUCCCCGACCUCAAGUAUUGCAGGAAAAGUGACCCGUUAGUGCAUAUCGAGCGCUUCAACAACAUGACAGUGGUUCAGGGGCUAACGCCAGCAUAGAGAUGCCGAGUAUUUCCCCUGACGUUGGAGGGGCGAGCCCAAGACUGGUACCGCAAGUUGUCAAGCGAAAGUAUAAAGGGUUUUGAACAAAUGUGUCAAGAGUUAGCCGAGCAGUUCCGAGGAGCAGUAGCCCAAGAGGACGAUAUGAUGGAGUUAAUGGGAAUGAAGCAAGAAGAACACGAAUAGCUGAGGGAUUUUGUGAAAAGGUACCACCAGGCCAUACUUGAAUUGGAAGCCUUCAAUCACCCUCAGGCGUUGAAAGGGUUAAAAGAGGGAGUGAAGAUAGGUCGACUCUGGUACAAUCUAGGAGUGUUCAGAAUCCGAUCCGAUCCGUUCAAUCCAUUCGAUCCGUAAAAAUCUGAUCCUGGGAUUGGUGGAUUGGAUUUAAUAUAAAAAGGUACUUGUUUAAUGACGUCCAGCAAAUGAAUGUUGACUUUCACUUGUUUAAAGAUAUCAUAAAUUUAUGGACUGUGGUUUGAAUUUUUGACUUGAUCAAUGCUUGAGGAAAUGGGGGUACAGAAGAAGAGUUGGUUAUUUCAUCAUGGGUUAAAGGUUCGACAGACUCUUCUCUAUUUUCUAAAAUUGAAUCUUUACUAGUUUCACGAGGGUCCAGAAUGUGUUUUCCAACAACUUUACCACCACAAAGGGUUAUAACCUAUUUGACUUGGCUCAUAUUUAGUUUCCUGAAUUUCCUAUUUGACGAUAUUGUUGACUUUUGGGGUUUGGUUCAGGUUAAGUAGGAAACUUUUCUUUUUCAUGCAUGGUGAGAGCAGAUGUAAGUUUGGAGACAGUUUUUGUCAAAUUGGUUAAGCUUUGCAUCGUUUGGUUCUUGUUUUUCAAUAAACGAAUGCAAUGUGUCUUCUAGAGUUUUUCUUGGUGGUGGGACAUGUGGAGGGUAACUCUGAGAUUUUUGAAAAUUUUAACGUAGAGAAACUGGUUGUGAAGAUUGUGCAUGAUUGUCACUGCUGUACGGCCAAGGCGGAUGUACGGUACAGCAGCUGUAAAAUGGGCCCCCCCUUGUCAAUUCUAAAGCUAAAAGGGUUUGGCCUUUUAUUUGUUUUGCUUCACUCAUGUGGGCACUUUAAAUUGUAAUAGGUUUCUUUUUUCCAUUUAUGAAAGCCAAGUGGGGUCCCUUCUUAAAGCUAAAAUCAAUUUCUCUCUUUUGUCCGCAUGUGCAUGAUGAAUUAACUUGUUGAAUUCGGUUCCUUGGCUUGAUUUCCACAUGCAUGUAUGUCUAAUUCCUUCCAAAAAAUCAAUUAAUCUUUAAUGCUUCCAAAAUUGAGUUCGUUUAUGUCCUUUUUAUCCAUAAUCUCCAAUUAAUCCCCUAUUCAAUAAAAUAAUUUAAUUAAUUAAAAAUAACAAAUGAAAAUAGCUAGCAAUUAUAUAAUUAAGGGUAAAAUAUGUAUAUAAAUUAUGUUCAUCAGCGACAAUUGGCACAUGUGAUAGAUAAGAUGCAGGGCAGAAGAAAGCCCCCUAGCUGGAGAAUAAUGUUGGAUGACGAAUCUCCACUCUCAGCGGAGAUCAUAGGCACUAUGAUCCCGAGGGAUUUCCGUUUCCCCGACCUCAAGUAUUGCAGGAAAAGUGACCCGUUAGUGCAUAUCGAGCGCUUCAACAACAUGACAGUGGUUCAGGGGCUAACGCCAGCAUAGAGAUGCCGAGUAUUUCCCCUGACGUUGGAGGGGCGAGCCCAAGACUGGUACCGCAAGUUGUCAAGCGAAAGUAUAAAGGGUUUUGAACAAAUGUGUCAAGAGUUAGCCGAGCAGUUCCGAGGAGCAGUAGCCCAAGAGGACGAUAUGAUGGAGUUAAUGGGAAUGAAGCAAGAAGAACACGAAUAGCUGAGGGAUUUUGUGAAAAGGUACCACCAGGCCAUACUUGAAUUGGAAGCCUUCAAUCACCCUCAGGCGUUGAAAGGGUUAAAAGAGGGAGUGAAGAUAGGUCGACUCUGGUACAAUCUAGGAGUGUUCAGAAUCCGAUCCGAUCCGUUCAAUCCAUUCGAUCCGUAAAAAUCUGAUCCUGGGAUUGGUGGAUUGGAUUGGAUUGAAAUUUUAAAAAUCCACAGUCGGUGGAUUGGAUAUGGAUUUACUUCUGUGAAUCCGCAAAAAAAAAGAUAUUUAUUUAUUUAUUUUUAAAAAUAUUAUAAAUUUAAUUAAAAAUAUUAUAAAUGUGACAUUACAUAGUUACAUAAGCACCAUAACAUAACUUAGCCAUUACCUAAUAAAAAUAUAUUACAAAAAAUAAUUAAAUAAUCAAAUAUACAAAUAUAACUUAUAAAAAUUAUAAAACAAAAUAAAAACAAAGUCACAUACACUAGCAAAAAGUAAAGUAAUCAAGUCACCAACAAUUUGCAAAGUCAUCCAAAAGUAAAGUAACAUAACGCUAUUGUCAAAAAAAAAAAAAGGUAACAUAACCCAAAAGUAAAGUAGCAUAACGCCAAAAGUAAAGUAGCAUAACGCAAGUCAGUGGUCACUAACAAUUUGCAAACAAAAAAACCCUAAGCUUCCUGCUUCCCUGCCAUUACACGCACUAGCAACACCCAGUUCGAUACACUCUAGACAUCGAUUUGAAGGACAUCGGCCGCGCGAUUUUGGCAUUAUCAAGCCAUCUUCUUCCCUGAGCCCAUCAAGCCACUUCACAAUCACUGGUUCCAGCCAAAAAAUUUCACCAUCACAGCCUUCUCACUCCUCGAACCCUCGUGGCUCUUUUGGGUUUUUGUGUGUUUGUGCAAAGACCUCACCAAUUGAGAUAAUUAAAGUUAAAUUCUUACUUUCUUUUCGAGCUUAAUGAUAUGACUAAAUAAAAUAACAAAAGGAUGAAUUGUUGGGAUAAAAUUCGUUAGAGACAGAAGCAAGAUAAGUAUGGGCUGUUAACUUAAGUUUGUUAAGGAAAUAGUUUAGACUUUGUUUUGUGUAGGAGUGUGUAAUAAGGCUGGCUAUACAAUAGCUUUUUAUUAUUUAUAUGUAUCGGCUUGAAGUAGACGGGUGUGGAAAAAUUAUCUUAACAUUUUGAUUUCAAUAAAGAGGAAUUCCCCCUGGAAGUGGAUGCUAGUUUAACUUUCUUGUGUUUUUUUCUUCCAAUACUUAUCACUUAAUUUGUUCCUGUUAUUUUUCAUAAUUAAUUUUAAUGAUUUUUGCUAUUAUUAAACAAGAAUUUUGUGUUUAUGCAAAGACCUCACUGAUUGAGUUAAUUAAACUUAAAUUAUUACUUUCUUUUUAAGCUUAUUUUGUUCCUAUUAUUUUUCGUAAUUAGUUUUAAUGAUUUUUCAUAUUGGUGGUGUAGAUGACUUCUCAACUUGAUAAAGGAAAAUGCGUAGCUGUAGAUUCAGCUCCCCCAAGUUCUAAAUCAUCCAGUAAUGUUGAAGGUACGCCUAAUAAAUCCACUAGUUUAGAAGCUUGUGAGCAUUUUAUCUAAUUAAGUUCUGUUUUUAUUUGUCAAAAGUUGUGAACAAUUGGAAUGGUGCAAUCUUAGGGGGUCAAAAUAUGCAUUUGAGGUGUAGUGCACAUAUAUUAAAUCUCAUUGUUGCAGAGGGGUUAAAAAAGUAUCAUCAGUCGAUUUCUAGAAUUCGCAAUGUUGUAAUAUUUGUUAGAUUUUCACCUUCUAGGACACAAAAGUUUAAGGCAUAUGCAGAGCGAGAGAAAAUUUCGUCAAAUAAGUUGUAGUGUCUAGACGUCAUAACUAGAUGGAAUUCCACUUUUUUCAUCUUAAAGGCUACUGAAAAGUAUGAAAAAGUAUUUGAUCGGUUAGAGUUUCAUGAUGCACAAUACAUUCGUGAGUUUUGUUUGAGUAAGCCAAAAACGUGUCCUUCUUCAAUUGAUUGGGAAUAUGCUCAUUAUUUCAUUAAAUUCAUGAAGGUCUUUCAUGAUGCCACUUUGACAUUUUUGGGUUCUUUAUAUGUGACAUCCAAUACUUUUUUGCCCCAAUUAUGUUUGAUUCAUACACAAUUGCAAGCUUAGAGGGAUAAUAAAGAUUUAUUUUUGAAGAUAAUGGCUGAAAAUAUGACAAAUUGCUGUACGGCCAAGGCGGAUGUACGGUACAGCAGAUAUUGUUUUGUAGUGUUGUUUGGUGAAUUUAAAGUUAAUUAGUUGGUUGUUAAAGUGCGGAAUAAUUUAAAUAGUUUAUAUGAGGAAUACAAAUUGCUUUAUGGUGAUGAUGUGGAAAUAAUGGAUGUAGUAAAUGAUGAAAAGGAAUUAGAGGUUGAUACUGAGGUUAGGCAAGUGUUUGAUUCGGGUUAUAUGAGGAUUUUAAAAGAUACUUUUGUAGAGUGCAAAACAAAAGUGGAUCUUUACUUGUUAGAAUUUUGAUGUAUUGGAUUGGUGGAAGAUUAAUUCUUCCAAAUCCAAUUUUGUCUUAUGUUGCUCGAGAUAUUUUGGUCAUGCUUGUUUCCACUGUGGCAUCUGGGUCAGCAUUUAGCAUUGGUGGGCGUUUUCUUGAUCCACAUUGGUGCUCACUAUCUACAAGGACGGUGGAGACACUAAUUUGCACACAAAAUUGGCUACGUUCAACUCCGAUAAAUCUUGAUGAAGCAAUAGAUGAGAUUGAACAUAUUGAAACAGGUAAAAUGUAACAAUUUAACUUUAAUUUUAUUUAUUGAUUAUUAUUUGACUUUAUAUUGUUAUUCUAUUUUAAAAAUUGACAUUUUUCUUGUCUUAUACGUGCAGAGAUUAUAGGAGCUGACAAGAACAUAUUUGAUGAAGCUCGAUGGCAUUUGAUGGGAUAUAAGGGUAAAUAUUUAUAAAUUUGUUUAUUAAAUAAAUUUUUUUACUUGUUAUUUAUAUCAAUUAUGUUUAUUUUGUUUAGGUUAAAGUACGAAACACAAAUUAGAGAUGGACAUUUUUCCUUUUGGUGUGUUUUAUUUUGAGACUUUCAAUGUAUUAUUGUGGCUUUAUUUGAACAAUUAAUUUUGGUGUUAUAUUAAUGUAUUAUUGUAACUUUAUUUGAACAAUUAAUUUUGGUGUGUUAUAUUUUAAAACUUUGAACGUAUUAUUAUAGUUUUAUUUGAACAAUUAAUCUCGAUGUGUUAUAUUUUGAAUGUAUUAUUAAAACAAACAAUUAGUUUGUUUAAAUUUUAUUCAAUUUUAAAUUUAAUUAGUAGUAAAAUUAUUUUUAUAUUAGAUUUUGUUUUUUUAAUUUCAUUAGUUUAUGGAUUGGAGAUAACUAAAUUUUUAAUUCGCAAAUCAAUUCGCAAAAUGAUAGAUUUGGAUAUGGAUUGAGUUAAAUCAGUAUCCGAUCUGCAUACGUAUGGAUUGGAUAUAGAUUGAGUCAAAUCCGUAUUCGAUCCUCAGAUAUAUGGAUUGGAUUUGGAUUGAAUUUAAUCAAUUCGUGGAUUGGAUUGGAUUGAAAAAUUAUAAUAUGCAAAAUCAUGGAUUGGAUAUGGAUUGGUAUCUAAUCUGUAAAAUCCGAUCUGCGAACACCCCUACAAAGUCGUCUAAAAAGACAGUGAUGUUGGAUUUUAUUGUUGUGGAAGAAAAUAGUCCUUACCAGAUGAUAUUUGGGCGACUAUUCAUGAGGGUAAGCCAGUGUGUGAUGUCCACUCAUUACUUGGCAUUGAAAUAUAGAGUAAACGGGAUGGUAGGCGUAGUGAAGGGUGACCAAAGGAUGGCAAGGAGCUGUUAUGUUACAGCUGCAAAGGAGACCUUACAAGUUACUGCGCUCAAUAGUCAGGGGGACUCCAAGAAGGGUCGGCAGCAGCCAGUUUAAGCCAGGCAGUAAGGGACGGGCUAGUAAAGUGCUUACAAUCUCAUGCAGAUGUAUUUUCCUAGUCGCACGAAGAUAUGCCAGAAUUGAUUCGAGGGUUGCUUGUCAUAAGUUAGUAAUCAAAAAGGGGGCUAGGCCAGUGAAAUAGAAAAAGAAAUGUUUCACUUUUGAAAUUAUUUUAAAAUUAAAAAUAUGUGUAAUAUUAUUAGUGUACUAGAUGGAUUAAAAUAUUUAUAUUAUAUUUGCAUUUAUUAAAAGAAUUUUGAAAUCAAUCUUUUAGUUAUUAUAUUAAAGGAUAUUAUGGUCCAAAUGAGAUCUUGAUGGCUUUAAUUAAAACCUCAAGAGUCUCCACGACUAUUUUUCCAAAUUUUAGAGAUGUUGAUUUCCUUUUCGCGAAUAAUAAAACAAACAUAUACAUUCAUAGUUAUUAGAUUUAUGUAAAAUUUAGAUAAAUUUCAUAUUUAAUAUGAAAAUGCAAAUUGCACUUAAAUGAAAAAAAAAUUAGCAAUUCAUAAGAAUCUCAAAAUAAUAUAAUAAGAAUUUACUGAAAAAUAGUUAUUGAUAAAAACUAGGAAAUGAUUGUGAUUGUAAUAUUUUUUUUCCCCUCCUUACUCAUGAAAUAUUAUUGUUUGCUAAAUUACAAAAAAAAAAUUAUUUGAGAACUGUAGAGAGAGAGAGAGAGAAUCCUUAUUAUUUUAGGGGAGGUAGGUAUAAUAUAACUUUACUUUUAGAUAAAAAUAAGGGAGAUUCUCAAUUUCCCCUACUGUAAUUAAUAUAUAUCAUUUGACCCCUUAUGUUUUUAUAAUGACCGAUAACCCCUGACAACAUAGGUUCACAAUACUACUUUUAUUUUCAAAUGCCCUUUUAUUCAUAUUUAUUAUAAAUUAAAUAAAUCACAUGAAUGGAAAUUAAAAUAAAAAAUUAAGUAUUAAAAAUAAGAAAUAUAUAUUUUGAUGUGAAAAAUUAAUAAUAAAAUAUUUUUCUUGUACUUUUUUAUUUUAUAAACAUUUUCUUAUAAUAAAUAUUUUAAAAUUAAAUGUAAAAAGCACAAGAAAUUAUUUAUUCAUUUAUUAUAAAAUAAAUAAUAAAAAAUUUUCUUGUGCUUUGUACAUUUAAUUUUAAAAUAUUUAUUAUAAGAAAAUGUUUACCAAUAAAAAAGUACAAGAAAAUUUUUUUCUUAUUAAAUUUUUUAUUUAGUUUCUAUUCAUAUGAUUUAUUUAAUUUAUAAUAAAUAUAAAUAAAAGUGUAUUUGAAAAUAGGGAUGAUAUUAUAAAAUUAUGCUAUCAAGAGAUUAUUAACUAUUAUAAAAACAAUAAAGAAAUAAAUAGUAUACAUUAAUUACAGUAGAGAGAAAUUGAGAAUUUCCCUAAAAAAAUCUAUUAAUAUAAGGUUCCAGCUACUUUGCCCAAGGGCAACUAACCUGAUAUUUUUGUCUUGUACCUAAAUCAGCCAUUAGAUUAAUACCAAUCCAAUCUGAUGGCUUUCACUUAAAUGGCUUUAGUGGGACGCCGGCACAGUAGGUCGAGUAGAAUCGGGUGUUAUCCACUCUUUCUUCUGCUCUGUUCCCUCUCACUUUGUCUCUCUAUCUCCAUCAUCAAACAUAGAUAAUUUCUUCUUAAUUCUCUAAUUGUGAAUCCAGUCGAAUCACAUAUACGUAAUAAAUCAAAUCUCAUUAAUCAAGUUAACCAUCCAUGAAAUGAAACUAAAGCAAUUAGAGACUUGAUAUUCUCCUAACCCCAACAUCCUCAUUCACCAAAACCUAAGUUAUAUGCUAAGUCUAAGAAAAAUUGUUUUUGUGCGCAGAUGGCAUAAAAUAGAAGCACAAAGCAACGACCAUGAGUUGGAAUAUCAGUUGCCUACCGUGAAAGAUAGCGAAUCCAUUAAAAGAAUUAAUUAAUACUUUUUAGUCAAUUAUUCAUUCAAUUGCUCGGCUUGUAGGAUUUUGGUUAUAAAUUUUGGUUUCCAUAAGAAAUAUGACAGAUAGUUAAGGUGUACUGACAGGGUAACUGGAUACGCCUAUAUCACUGGAAGCUGAUUUGGCAUUGGAGUUUCAAUCGACGUGGCAUAUAAUGUCUAAAUAAUUGUUGUAAAAGAUAUUUAGGUUCUGUGACAUAAUUGUAACUUUAUGUGAUGAUUAGAUAAUUACUCAAAACACAUAAUGAUUGGAUGACUGACGACCACGAUAAUAAGUAAUUGUUAUGGUAGUUAUUUAGGUGUUUAAAGUUACUCCUAUGAAGCCAAAUGCCCAGAGGGGCUUAAUUUUUUGGCUACCAUCCUAUUAAGAACAACAAUUGCUUUCAUUCAUGGUUUGUGAGUGGAAGCUUAAUUUUUUAAGAACAAUUAAAGAUAUUUUGAGAAUUGAUGCUCUUAUUUAUUGUCCUUGGAUAAGAUGCAACAUAACUUUGAAAGACUCGCGUUGCUUGUCAAAUAAGUAGAAGAUAGUGAGAAACUAUUUUUCGGUCAACCUUAAGUUACAGUAUAUGUAACCUAGCAGCUGCCAUUUUAUGAUGCUUUUAGUUUGUGAAUUUUAAAAAUCAAUAAGCACGGAGGAAAGGAGAGGAGAGGGUGGAGGAAAGUGAGAACAAAUUGUUAUAAUUUAUUUUUAGAUUAAGGGCACUUUUGUCUUUUUAAGUGACAAUAGAUGACACCAAAGGAAAAUUUACUUAUUUAUUGGUCAAUUUACGGUCAAUUUUAUUUGGGUUAACUAUGUUUCUUGCAAUAAUAGAGUCGACUAAUUUUGUAAUUGAGACAGAAGAAUAACUUCAUCAAUAUGAAGUACAGUAGAAGCUUGUUAAUUUAUACCUGAUAAAUUAAUAAUCUCAAUUAAAUAAUAAUUUUUGUUAGUCUCAAUUUGGGAUGAACGUAAGAAAUUAAUAAUAUAAUAAAUUUAUUAGAUAACAAAUUUUCAAAGAAAAAUCUUGUUUUGCUAUAGGAUACAAUUAAUAUAUAACUUAAUAAUUAAAUAAUUUGAAACUAAAUACGUAUGAUAUGUCUAUAAGACUUUUGAAAAUAAGUUUCCAAUGUUGCUUGCUUCUGAAAUUAAUUUCGACUUGUAGCCAUUGUUAUAUUAAUUUAUAUUAAUAAAUUAUUAUUAAUUUAUUGAUAUAAUAAUAUUUAUUAAAUUAAUAAAUUUUUUAUGGUCUCAAUACUAUUAAUUUAUUAAGGUUCUCGUUGUGUAUUGGAAUUCGUAACAUACAAUUACAAUGGAUUCCUUGACUCAAAAAUCAUAAUCGUACGUGACAAAAUCCUUCAAUUCAUAAAAAGAAUGAGAGUUAAUUCAUAAAAAUCAAAUAAAAAGUGUGUUUCAGCUACUCGAAGGAGUUAUGUUACUCAUUGAAAGAAUCUGUUUGGUUUCUUCUCUCCCUCGUGUCCAAAUGAGAGCAAGAAUUGAGAGUAAAUGUUUGUAAAAGGAAGUCCCCACCCUUCCCCAACCAAAUCUUUGUUUUAUCAUGAAAUUUCAAGAAGAAAAUUAUUAAUUUUCCCUUGAAUUGUUUAAGUGUAAUUGGAUGUGAUCAGUGAUGUUGUCAUGUGGGUGCAAAUAGGUAUUUACAAGGACACUUCACGAUUGUCAAAUCCAGGCUUAUAGCAGACAAUUGUGAUCUCUAGCUGUCACACAUGUUUCCUCUAUUAUUAAAUUUACCGUAAUUUUAAUUUAUCAUAUAAUUAUUUUCCCUACCUAACCAUAUUAUAGUAACAAAUGACUUCUUUCGAUUUUCCAUAAAUUUUCCGACAUAUUCUUUCAACAAUUAUUUGUUUCUAAUGGGUUGUAGUAAUGGCACAAUUGUUGAAUAAAUUAUGCUUCUAGUUGUUACAACAAUUAACUUAUUAAUAGUUCUAUUUGUGCUCAGAAUUUUGCAUAAAGUUCACCAGCCAAAAAACUGGAAGAACAGGUUAAUGAAAUCUGUAACGUGGCUGCUCGAGGAUUUGUUGGGUUUCAGUAAUUGAUAUCCUAACAGUCGACAAAUUUGGGAUUACGUUCCCUCUUAGGCAACAUAGUUUUAGUUAUAAUGAUAUACAGUAAAAUCUUUAUAAUUUGAUACUCGAUAAAUUAAUAAUCUUUAUUACAUAAUAAUUUUUUACAGUCCCGAGUUAAGUCAACGGCCUAAAUUAAUAAUUUUAAUAAAUUAAUAAAAUAAUAUUUUUUUUAAAAACCUUUAUGCAAUUCUGUUGUCCAAUUAUAGCAUAAAUUAAUAAUUUACUAAACUUACAAAUAUCAUUUUUAUGAUAUUUUAUUAAAUAAAAUAUGACUAUUGUUAUUUUUUAAAAAUUUUAAAUAUAGAUAGAUCUCAUCUCUAUUUUUACUUAUUACUUCUAAAAGUUGUAAGGUUGAAUUUUGAAAUUGCAAGAAUUUUAAUUUUUUCAUUAAUUUAAUUUAAGCUUAAUAGAUUAAUUCAUUUUAAUUGAUUAGAUCGGUAAAAAAUAAUAAUUUUUUAGUUGAUUAAAAUAUACAUUUAUUGAAUUUUAUACAUAUUCUAUAAAUUAAUAAAUUUUAUACACAAUAAUCCCAAUAUCAUUAAUUUAUUGAGAUUUUACUGAUUUGUUUCUUUUAAAAUAUGUGAACUGUUUUAGGAUAGCGCGGCCAUAAUUACUGGAUCGUCAAUGUUCAACCAUUUGGCUUUCGAGUAGAACUUUCCAAGGAAAAAAAAAAAAAAUUGAUUGGACUUUAUUGCAUAUCCAAAAGACUCCACCGACAACACCAUUCAAUCAUUCAGCUGCCUUUACUGACUGCGUCUUUGGUUUACAUCACCAUUACAGGACAGCAUGAAGAAAAAACGUUGCAUCCACAUUGUUUUCUUAUUACUUAUUUAAUUGGAUCAGGAUUUUGUCACGUCUGAGUAGAAUUCACGAGAUUAGUGAUGAUUAAUAAAUAACAAUUAACAGAAGAAUCGUCUCCAUCCUUAAGAUUUUAGCAAACGUCUAUAUCUUUAAAAUUGGAAAGAUCUUAUUAGAAAGACUCUAAAAUUUUUAAUAAAGAUUAAAAAAUUUAAAUUCAUAAUAAAUAAAAACAUAAUAUUAAAAUAAAUAUAUUAAAAUUUAAAUUAUUUUAAAUAUUAUGUAAAAUAGUAAUUUUAAUAUUAUUAAUACAUGAGAUAUUUAUUAGUUAUAAAAUCUAUUUAACCCAAAGAUUUAUUUGAAAUCCUUCAAAUAACUAAAAAUAAAUUAUUAGAACAAACAUAAAAAUUACAUAUUUCAAAUUAAUAAACAUAAUAUUAUUAAAACUAUUUUAAUAGUUUUUAAUGUCCAAAGACUAUUUUAAUAGUUUUUAAUGUCCAAAAACUAUUUUAAUAGUUUUUAAUGUCCAAAGACUCCAACAACCAUGCAUUCAACUACUCAGCUGCGUUUUAUUGACUGACACUCGGUUUAAUUCAGGAUACGAAGAAAAUCUGCUCUAAAAGCCCUUCACUUGAAGUUUUUUUUUUUUUUUUUUUUUUUUUUUUUUUUAAUUUUUUUUUUUUUUUUUUUUUUUUUUUUUUUUUUGAAGUUGCAUCCAUCAUGUACACAUUUUGAGCACAGCCUAAUAAAAACCCUCAAAGUUUGAACACGAUAAAUUCCUUUUCCAUGAGCUGCUUGCCACUUUCUUAUAGCAUAAGGAAAAUUCUCGUUUGUCCGAAUGGGUGCCCGAAUAGGCAAAACCAAAACGAUGUCGUUCUGAGUUUGCGGUGUUUGGCCGCCCAUUCGAGCAGUCGCAUGAUUCGUGGCUUAAUACUCCUAACUGUUAGCAGCCUUAUUAUUUGUUGUUCCUUAAUUAAUUAGCUGUACCACUGCUAAAUUGACAGGCAAUAUGAAUAGGAGUGUCAACUCGUGUUCUCGUGUUAAAUUUAAAUAAAUGAAUUGACAUGAUGUUGAGGUGGUCCACACCAAACAAUGAAGAAAAUUUUGUAUUUUGUGUGAUUUAAAAACCCAUCACAUGAAGUUGAAACAAUCGUCCACACAUUCUGAGCACAACAUUGAGCAGCCGUAUCUUGUUCCCCGCUUCACGCUCAAACAUGCUAAAUUCCAAUUCCAUGAGCUGCCUUGCCACUUUAGUAUGGUGCUUUAGCUUGUUUUCAUUGCUUAAUUCUGAUAGUUGUUUCGCCCUUUCAAACGAGACAGAUCGUCUUGCUUUGCUUGCCAUAAAGUCACAGCUUCAGGAUCCACUUGGUGUUACAAGUUCAUGGAACAAUUCUAUCAACUUGUGCCAAUGGACAGGCGUGACUUGUGGUCAUCGACACCAAAGAGUAACUGAGUUAGAUUUGAGAAACCAAAGCAUAGGGGGUUUCUUAUCGCCUUAUGUUGGGAAUCUCAGCUUCCUUAGAGUCAUCAACCUGGCUAACAACGAUUUCUAUGGUGAAAUUCCCAAUGAAGCUGGUCGUCUGUUCAGGCUUGAAACUCUAUUGCUGACAAAUAAUUCUUUUUCUGGUAAAAUACCCACCAAUUUGUCCCGUUGCUCUAACCUCAUCAAUUUCCGUGUCCGCCGAAACCACCUUGUGGGAGAAGUUCCAGUAGAUAUUGGUUACAGCUGGUUGAAGCUUGAGGUAUUAUCCUUUGCAGACAAUCAGUUAACAGGCCAGUUCCCACCUUCCAUUGGGAAUCUCUCAGCUCUUCAAGUAAUUAAUAUUGGAGUGAAUGGAUUGAGUGGGAGAUUUCCUGACUGUCUAGGUCAAUUAAGAGAUUUAUACUACUUCAGCAUAGAGGAAAAUAACUUCUUUGGUACGUUUCCUGUUUCAAUUUUUAACAUCUCUUCCCUUCAGACGAUUUCUUUAGCGUUUAAUAGAUUCGAAGGAAGUCUUCCAGUUGACAUAGGUUUUAAUCUUCCGAAUCUGGCAUAUCUAAAUGUAGGACAAAACAAUCUUACAGGUACUCUCCCACAUUCACUGUCCAAUGUUUCAAACCUUAAGGGGCUUGAACUGUUUGAUAAUUCUUUCAGUGGGAAUGUGAGAAUUGAUUUUGGCAGUCUCCUGAAUCUAAAUUGGCUCAAUUUGAAAGACAAUAAUUUAGGUGGUGGAACAAUCAGUGAUCUUGAUUUUGUAACCCUUCUCACAAACUGCAGCAAAUUGGAAGCGCUUGAAAUUGGUUCCAAUAGAUUUGGAGGAGUGCUACCACAUUCGAUAGUCAACCUCUCAACAACUGUGACCAGUAUUGACAUGCAACACAACCAAAUAUCUGGCAGCAUACCUUUUGAAAUGAAAAAUCUUAUCAAAUUGAAUGCCCUUUAUCUGCAUUAUAACCAACUAAAUGGCAUUAUUCCUCAUACCAUUGGUGAACUCAGAAACCUACAAGCUAUGAGCUUGUCUGCAAACAACAUGACUGGGACCAUCCCUGACUCUCUUGGCAACUUGACAUUAUUGACUGGUCUUUGGCUAAGAAUCAACAACUUGAAAGGCGGUAUACCCUCAUCCCUUGGGAAUUGUCAAAAUUUGAUGGAAUUAUCUAUUUCCCAAAAUAGAAUCACUGGUGCCUUGCCAAAACAAAUCCUCGGCAUAAAGACCCUUUCAACUCUCCUAGAUCUGUCUGAUAACCUUCUUGGUGGUCCUAUUCCCGUAGAAGUUGGAAACUUGAAGAAUCUAGGUGCCUUGUAUGUAUCUAGAAAUCAAUUUUCCGGUGAAAUUCCUACUACUCUAAGUUCUUGUACAAGCUUAGAAUAUCUUGAUAUGCAUGAAAAUUCUUUCAGCGGUAGCAUUCCUUUUGCUUUGAAUUCUUUGAAAAGCAUUAAAGCGAUAGAUCUCUCAUGCAAUAAUUUGUCAGGUCAGAUUCCAAAAUAUUUCGAGAAUUUAUUGUUCUUGGAACUCUUAAACUUGUCUUAUAAUCACUUUGAGGGUGAAGUACCAACAAAAGGAGUUUUCAGUAGUAAAAUUAAUAUUUCUCUACUUGGGAAUGAGAAGCUUUGUGGGGGUUUAAAUGAACUGCACUUGCCACCUUGCCAUUCUACUAGACCAAGAAAAUCAACAGUCACUCUUCUCAAGGUUCUGCUUCCUGUGAUUGGGUCAGUUCUCAUCUUAUUAACAUGCCGUACUGUUGUUGAAAAUCGAAGAAGGAAACUUGCACAUAAAUCCUCAAGCACGUUGCGGGUGGAACAACGAUUUCCGAUGGUUUCCUAUGCGGAGCUAAGUAAGGCAACAAAUGAAUUUUCAUCAUCAAACAUAAUUGGUCAGGGAAGCUUUGGCUCCGUGUACAAGGGGAAUCUUGGUGAAAAUGCAAUGCCAGUAGCAGUGAAGGUAAUGAAUCUUAAGCAAAAGGGUGCAACCAAGAGUUUUGUUGCUGAAUGUGAAGCAUUAAGAAAUAUUCGCCAUCGAAAUCUCAUCAAAAUCAUCACUGUUUGCUCAAGCAUUGAUUUUAAAGGGAUUGAGUUCAAGGCUCUUGUUUACGAAUACUUGCCAUGUGGAAGUUUGGAGGAUUGGCUGCACCAGAGCAAUGAUCAACUUGAAGCAGGCAACUUAAAUCUCAUUCAAAGACUGAACGUAGUCAUUGAUGUGGCUUCUGUAAUUGAAUAUCUUCACCAUCACUGCCAACCGCCAAUUGUUCAUGGUGAUAUAAAGCCAAGCAAUAUUCUACUUGAUUAUGACUUGAUCGCCCAUGUAGGUGACUUCGGGCUUGCAAGAUUUCUUUCUGAUCGCUCACCUUGUACAAUUCUUGAAACUUCAUCAAGUUCAAUUGGGAUAAAAGGAACUGUCGGUUAUAUAGCCCCAGGUAUUUAUAUUCAUAUUUGACACUUUGUACUUUUAAAUAAUGUUAAUGUUUGAUUGUUAGUAUCUAACACAAAGAAUCCGAAAUGUCUUUUUCCUUUUCAAGAGUAUGGCAUGGGCGGGGAUGUGUCCAUGACAGGAGAUGUGUACAGCUUUGGAAUCUUAUUGCUAGAGAUGUUUACAAGAAGACGGCCAACCGAUAACAUGUUUAAUGACGGUUUGACUCUCCAUGAAUUUGCCAAGAUGUCUCUACCAGAAAAAUUAAUGGAAAUUGUUGAUCCUUCUUUGUUGUUGGACUUGAAACCAAGGGCGAGCAACUCUAGUAAUCCUGGAAAUUAUGGAGCCAAAAUCGAGGAGUGCUUGGCUACUAUAGUGAAAAUUGGAGUUCUGUGCUCAAUGGAAUCUCCAUCCGAGCGAAUGCAAAUAAUAGAUGUCGUGGCAAAAUUAGGUGCUGCUAAGGAGGUUUUUAUAGGUAGGAGGGCGUGAUUUGUAUAAAUUUCCAGUCAAAGUUAUUAAUCUUUAGUCUCAUGGAAUAAUAUUAAAUUAUAUCGGAGUGUAAAAUCUUAUAUUCCCGCUGAAUGCAUGUUACGAUCGAUCUGUGCAAUGCUUUUACUUUCGAUUUCUAUUUUUUAAAACAUGAUAAUCUACUGCUUUAAUAUACACUUUAAAAAUUACUCUAAAUACUUAUAUUUUAUUAAAGGGUGGGGUUAUUUGAAUUAAGUAAUAACUCUCUACACCCAUUUACUCUAUACACUCCAUUAACAAAAGUAUGAAAUAAGAAUUUUCAUCUUUAAACUUUCUGUAAUUCAAAAUUAACCCUAAUUAAAAACCUCAAUAUUUUAUUUCUAUACCUCCAAAAUUUUGUCCAUAUUCAUCAAAAUCUAAUUUCAUCUUUUUUGUUUUAGUAUCUUCUUUUCCAUUCUUAUGAUUCCCCUUUUUAUUUAUUUUUUUCCUACGAUUCCUUUCUAUAAACAGUAAUCAUUAAAAAGAAAUCACCUCCGGUAUAAACAAUCAUAUAGGUUAUAUAUAUAUAUAUGUAUUUCCAAAAAAUGACAACAUCAUCUUGAUUUAUUUGGUGGGCCUUUUUGUUUUAACAGUAUUCAUGAAAUCUGAUUUUUUUUUUUUUUUUUGUCUUUGGAUAGUUUAUGAAUAUGAUUUUUAUAAUUUCUUUACUAGAAUAUUUGUUGAUUUCUUUUUUUUUUCCACUAGAACAAUGAGAAAGGUUGAACUCUAUGAUCAAGUAAAUUGUAUUACUAUAGGUAAUUUUCGUCAGUCUCCAUAAUUCCAUUUACAUUGCUAUUCUUAUAAGGCUGCAAUUGCAAUGAAUGAUAAACAGACUAUUUAAAUUUACAAGAUAACAUGGAUGUGGAGAAGACAAAGAAACGGAAGAAGAAGAAGCAGAAGAAGAAGGGUGUUAAAAAGGCUUAUCUUUGUCUUAAAUAAUAAUUUUCUGUAUGGUUCUUUUUGUUAUAUUAAAUUUUACAAAAAAAGGUACAAAAAGUAUUUUUAUGGUUUAAAUAGCCCCAUCCUUUAUUAAAAUAAUUUAUUACAGAAAUACUCAUCAUGUGAAUUACUAUUAAGAACAAUUUAUUAUAAGUCAUGUAUAUUAUAAUUAUUUUGAAUACUUAUGAUAUAGUGCACUCAUUAUUCAAUCUGUAAUUCUUUUGCUUUAAAUAUUAAAAUUUUAUUUCCAGCAUCUUGAACAAAACUUACUUGGACAAUGAGCAAAUCAAUAUUUUAAAAUAUUUUGACUACAAGAUUUAUGAGACCCUUUUGAUUUUCAAAAUAAGAAAAAUGACAUCUACACCCCUAAGAUUUAGGAAGAUGGCCAUUAAGACCCUAAGUUUUUAGUAAGAGAUACAAAGACCCUUCUUUUUACCAUCAUACCAUUUGACUUUAUAAAUUCCAAAAAAAUUGACUUGAAAAUUUUAUAAUAAACAGAAAUAUGGUAUUGAAAUAAAUAUAAUAAUACAUACAUUUUAAUAUUUAAAAAAUAUUUUUAUAUUUCACAAUCUAUUAGACAUAUUUUAUUAUAAUUAAAGUAAAUUUUAAUAACAAAUAGAAACAUAAUACUAUAGUAAAUAAAUUAAAAUUAAAAUUAUUUUAAAUAUUAUGUAAAUAAUAAAUUUCGUAUUUAUAAUAGGGAUAUAUUUUGCUAAUUGUAAAAUCAAUUUAACCCAGAAAAUUAUUUAAAAUCUUUAUAAUAAAUACAAAUAUAUUAUUAAAAUAAUAUAAUAUUUUAAUAUUAUUUUAAAUGUUAAAAAUAAUUUAAUAUUAUUAGUCUACUAGAUAGACUAUAUUAUUUAUAUUAAAUUUGUAUUAGUUACAAAACUUUAAAGUUAAUUUUUUAAUUACUAAAUUUAAAGGGUAUUAUUGUCAAAAGGGGGUUUUGGUAUUUUUCAAUAAAAAAUUGAGGGUCUUUAUGAUCAUUUUUUUAAAUCUUGAGAUUUAAGUGUCCAUUUCUCUUCAAAACAUUAAAUUGAAAUAAACUAUUGUGAAGAUGGUCAAAUUUUUUAUUUUGAUUUGAAAAAAAAAAUGGAAAAUAGGGAGGAAGCUGAAACUGAGCCCAUAUAAACUGCUGCAUCCAGUAGCAGCAUCAUCUAGCUUCUUUUUUUUUCCCCCCCGUUAAAUCGCCAUUUCUUUUCAGUUGUUAUUGGGGGCAAACAAAAUUCAUUCUUCUUGAUGUUAAAAAAUUUGGGAGUGCAAAAAUCAUUAUUAAGCAUAUUCUAUAGUAAACAAAAAUAAAUAACUAAAAAUUAUGUUUAAAAAAUUUCUUUACAACUUCAAUUGAAUCUGUUUGUUGCAAGUAUAUGCUAAAUUUUUAAUUUUUAAAUCUUUUUCUGGCUUUGCUUGAUAGUUUUUUUUUUUGGUUGUUUUGAGUGAAUUAAUUUAAGUGGUUUAAAUUAGAAUAUUUUUAAUAUUUUAAUGAGUGUACAAAAUAAAAUUUAAAUUCUCAAAUUUAAUAAAUAAGUGCACAAAAUAGCAUAAUAUUGAAAGAAAUUUUUAAAGUGUAAAAGUUAUAUCAUUUUUCUUAUCACUAUUAGCAUCAAUUAGUUAAUGAUAAGAAAAAGACCGGUGCUGUUAUAGCACCUGAUAUUUUUAGUGAUUGACUACAGUUGACCAAUAUGAUGAGUACAUUUCUACCAUUUUUUCAAAAAGUAAAUAAAAAUGAAUGAUUUUUUAAAAUACCCCUAAUUGAUGCUCUAAUUUGAAUUCGGGACAAGAAAAGGGUUUUGGCGCGCCUUGAUGACAUACAAUCUAAUAGAGACUCAUUAGUGAUUACGAACAUUAAUCGGGGUUGUAGUGAAAUUUACCCUAACUAAUUAUUUAAAAUUAAUAUUUUCGUAAAUUUUCAUCGCAUGACACGUGUCACGCACUAUUUAUAACCUCGCGCAAAGGGAAAGCAUUAGAACACGGUAGCAACUCGGCCUUACCCUGAUGAGUUUCCAUUAUUUUAUCUUUUGUGACAGGACUCUUAUGAGUUUCCAGAGCAGAAAUGGAACAAAACAAACUCUCAAAAAACAAAACAGUGGGAGACUAUGCAUUAAAAUCAAAAAUUGGAGAGAGUUCAAAUUCACUCUCAACAGUGUGGAAAGCGGAGCACUUGUCAUCAGGUGAUGUGGUGGCCGUGAAGCAAGUUUAUGUUGAAAAACUCAACAAGCACCUCAAGAGCUGCUUGGAUUGUGAGCUCAAUUUCCUCUCCUCUGUCAAUCACCCCAACAUAAUUCGCCUUUUUGACGCUUUCCAGGUGAGCCCUUUAAAUGGAAAUUUCAGAUUCUUAAUUGCCUUUCUUGCGUUUGUUGAAUUUGAGUUUCUUUGAUUUGGGUAAUGUAAUUUAUUUAUAUUUAGUUCAUUGGUUUUGAUUUUUAGCCUGUUUGUGGGAUAUCCAUUUAAUUAUCUUUGAUAAAGGAUCGUCCCGUAUGAUUUUGCUUGAUUUGUUGUAAGAGCAUAACUGUCUGCUUAAUUUUUUUAAUUUCAUUUUUGGAUAAGCUGUUGGAUACUUGUCAAGUGUUUGCUGAAUUGCAUUUGUUAACUGAUUGUUCAAAUCAGCUUGGAGGUCUGAAAAUGUAUUUUUAGAUUUUUCUUUAAUUAUUUUGGAGAUAAUAGUUGUUAAUUUAGUGUAGAUUUAUCUUGGAAUGCAGAUUCAUUAAUUCAUUAGCCUGUUGGUUAAGUUGAUUUUAUCAAUUGGAUAUUCCAUAAAUGACCAUUAUUUUUUAUCAUGACAUGGAGAUGCAAAUUGCUUAUUAGAGAAAAGGAUGGUCUUAAUGUUCAAACUAUGCUAUUUUUUGUGGUUCUUUUAUUUUCUUUUCUGACUAUUUUUAGCUAACUUAUUUUAUACCUUGAAUUGGAAAAUGCAAAUGGUUGAUUUUAGCUAAUCAAUUUUAUUAUUUAUACCUUGAAUUGGGGAUGCAAAUAGUUUAUGUAAGAUAAGAUGUGUUGGAAUUAAGCAUACUUUUUGGAUUUCUAUUUUCCUGUCCCUCAUACACAUUUUUGUUAUUAAAUGGUCUGGCGGCAUGCCCGUUGCAUGCAAAUUACAAUUUAAAAUAAGUGAUUUCUUGAUUGUCCAAAUCUGUUCGUACUUAGGCAUAUUUGUCUUAGAGCUACACCAUUCCCUUAAUAAAGAAAGCCGUAUAGGCUGUUGCAAAUGAUAUAUAAAUCAUUUAUGUAACGAUAGUACUAUGACAAAUUGAAGUUGGCUGCCUCUGCUGUCAGGCUGAAAAUUGUAUAUUCCUUGUGGUUGAGUUUUGUGCUGGGGGUAAUCUUUCAUCUUACAUUCGGCUGCAUGGAAGGGUUCCAGAGCAGACUGCCAGAAAGUUUCUUCAGCAGCUCGGUAGCUCAUUACCAGCCUUUGGUCAAUAGUUGUGCAUUUUUGUUGCUCCAAUCACUUCCCUGUAUCAAGUAAGAUAUAAAAGAAUGUGACUGAAUCCUUGAUUCCUUGUUGCAGGAGCAGGUUUGGAAAUUCUAAAUUCUCACCACAUUAUCCAUAGAGAUUUGAAACCAGAGGUAUGAAGAGUUAUGUGUUGUGGUUUAUUGUCUUGAAUUUCUAACUUAUUUGGAAAAUUUUGUUUCUCUAAAUGAUUCUAUGAACAUGGAAGAUGCCGCUUACCAUUAGUUGUUUGCGCAGUGUGGCCCUGUUCUUGUUUGCUCUUGCAGUUUUUCUGUGAACAUGUUGUAUGUCAUCCCCUGCACCUUCUACUUCUUUCUUUGUGCUGCUACCUGGUUCUCUCUGUUCCAUGAGAAAUAUACCAUGAAUAACUAAAUGAGAGUCUUGGUUGGUGCUAAUCAUAGAGGAUGGAGUUCCCUAGAGGAUUGUGGUUGCUUUAUAUGGUUUGCUCUUUAGUGUGUUUGUCAAGAAAGUGAUGAAAUCGAGAAAAUGAACAAUCUUGCACAAGCUUAAAGUUUGAUGAGCUACUAUUUUGUGCUCCUAUUUUGGGAAGUUCAAAGGAACUUUGAACGUCGUCAGUGAUUGUAUAGUUGUCACUAAACUGCCAAAUUUUCAGUGUUUCUACACAUGAAUUUUCUUUAUUUUAAUUUUAUAUGUUUUCAUUUUAAAACAUUGUAUGUUUUCGAGAUUGUAAGUUUUUAAAUUGACUUUGCUGUUGCUUUUGGUGGAACAGAACAUUUUACUAUCUGGCCUAGAUGACGAUGUGAUGCUCAAGAUAGCAGAUUUUGGUCUUUCAUGGUAAACUUUUAGUAGAAGGAUACAAAUAUAUUGUGCGAGGAUAGUUCUUAUUUUUGACAAUGUCCUGGAAGUGUGUUUGAAUGUUGACUUUUUCUGUUCUUUUGUUUCUAUUGUAGUUUUAAAAUGUAAACAUUAUGCAGAAGUUUCAUUCUUGAAAAGUCUGGAGCUUAAAAUUGACUGUUUGCUUCAUAUUUUAAGCAGCACCCUGUAUCCAGGCAAUUACGCUGAGAAAGUUUGUGGAUCCCCAUUAUACAUGGCUCCUGAAGUUCUCCAAUUUCAAAGAUAUGAUGAGAAGGUGAAUUUCUUUGUUUCCUAGAUAUUGAUUCUGUGCUAUUAAAAUGCAUCGGAAUUUACUGAAAGUUUUAAAACUUUCUUUGUAGGUUGAUAUGUGGAGCGUUGGGGCAAUUCUUUUUGAGCUUCUUAAUGGCUACCCACCUUUCUCUGGUAGGAAUAAUGUCCAGGUAGCGUAUUUUUGCAUAGAUUAAUAUUCCUAACAGUGAGCUAGCUUGAAUCUUAGCUAAUAAGUUUUUUUUUUUUCAGUUGGUGAGGAACAUCAAUUCAUGUAAGCAUCUUCCAUUUUCUCAGCUUAUCGUCCCUGCUUUGCAUCCAGAUUGUGUUGAUAUGUGCUUAAAGCUACUUUCUGCAAAUACAGGUAUCAUCUACUCCAUAUUUGAGCUUCAUAUAUUAACAUUCACCAGAUAAUUAUACUUUUAUUUACUCCUGGUUUAUUGCAGUCAUCCCUUACAGUCUUCUCAAUUCAUUGCAGUGGAUCGUUUGUCCUUCAACGAAUUCUAUCACCAUAGAUUCCUGAGAAGGAAUAGUGCAAUACUAAGAGCACCUUUUCAUAUCCCAUAACUCUGAGUCUCUGACUUCCCUUGUGUAUUGAAUUGGGCAUCCUUAAUUACGUCUCCUUUGACACCUCCUUCAGCAUAUCAGUUGCUUCUCAGAAUGCUAAUAUUUCUACAUUGCAGACAUUGUUGACCUCAUUUACAUUGACGUCAAUCGAGGUUGUCUUCAUUGUAUCUUUUGGGGAACAUUCAUAAAUACUUGUUUACCAGUCUAGUACAU
rnacentral:lncRNA from 1 species